GCCUGGGUAGCUCAGUUGGUUAAGCGUCCGACUUCGGCUCAGGUCAUGAUCUCACGGUCCGUGGGUUCAAGCCCCGCAUCAGGCU
rnacentral:tRNA from 1 species